rfam:Serratia symbiotica genome assembly, type strain CWBI-2.3T, contig: SYMBAF_Contig_17
ACUUUUCAGAGUACAGUCUGGCUUAACAGACUGAUGGCUGGUGACUUUUUGGUCACCAGCCU